rnacentral:rRNA from 1 species
AUACGGAGGAUCCGAGCGUUAUCCGGAUUUAUUGGGUUUAAAGGGAGCGUAGGUGGAUUGUUAAGUCAGUUGUGAAAGUUUGCGGCUCAACCGUAAAAUUGCAGUUGAAACUGGCAGUCUUGAGUACAGUAGAGGUAGGCGGAAUUCGUGGUGUAGCGGUGAAAUGCUUAGAUAUCACGAAGAACUCCGAUUGCGAAGGCAGCUUACUGGACUGUAACUGACGCUGAUGCUCGAAAGUGUGGGUAUCAAACAGGAUUAGAUACCCUGGUAGUCCACACAGUAAACGAUGAAUACUCGCUGUUUGCGAUAUACAGCAAGCGGCCAAGCGAAAGCAUUAAGUAUUCCACCUGGGGAGUACGCCGGCAACGGUGAAACUCAAAUGAAUUGACGGGG